rnacentral:rRNA from 1 species
UGGGGAAUUUUGGGCAAUGGGCGCAAGCCUGACCCAGCAACGCCGCGUGAGGGACGAAAUCCCUUCGGGAUGUAAACCUCGAAAGUUGGGGAAGAAAUCUGCCCGGAUAAUACCCGGGCAGGAUGACGGUACCCAACGUAAGCCCCGGCUAACUACGUGCCAGCAGCCGCGGUAAUACGUAGGGGGCAAGCGUUGUUCGGAAUUACUGGGCGUAAAGGGCGCGUAGGCGGCACGGCACGUCGGGAGUGAAAGCCCGGGGCUCAACCCCGGAAUGUCUCUCGAGACUGCCGAGCUAGAGUGCGGAAGAGGCACCUGGAAUUCCCAGUGUAGCGGUGAAAUGCGUAGAUAUUGGGAAGAACACCAGAGGCGAAGGCGGGGUGCUGGGCCGACACUGACGCUGAGGCGCGAAAGCCAGGGGAGCGAACGG